UCGAGUCCGUCUCGCGGAGACCAACCGUUGGUUGUGCCACUGCUGCAUAUUUUCAAGACAUCUAGGGGACAAAUAACCAACUCAGAAACUUUUUCAUGGCAAUAUCAGCUGUUUCAUUUCGGGUUUGGCGUCUGCUGAGAAUACCUGUGUCAUUGAAGUUUUGUUAAACUUACACUCCUCAUGUCGUGGGGUUUUACCUGGAAUUAAGCGUAGGUUUUCCAUUCUAUGCUUUGCAAUAGGUCCUUUUUAAAGUAAAAUCAUACUUAGUUGAAGUAGAAGCAUGGACUGACUUUACCAGCACGUUUUUCAUCUCAUUUAGUCAAAUGCAUAAAACUUUUAUACCAAUGGCACUCUUUAAAGAAAACAGCUAUUCAUAUUCUUUUUAAACGACUUAGAACUGUGAUGGCCACAGGACCUUUUUGUGACAGAAUGCAAUGCCACAGAUGUUUUGUUGGCAAUGUAAAAAAAGAUCACUAGUGCCACUCUUGUGUUGAUGAUUUGCUAGCUCACCCGUAAGAAGUAAAGGAUAGUUCAAGAUUUUGGCCUUGUCAUUUUGCUCAUUGUUGACUUAACUGUUUUUGUCACAUGGUAAAGGCCACUGUUAAAAAUGGAAAAAAACAAAAAUUUCCUAGUUUCUUGCAUGUACCAUAAGGUAAUGUUAGGAUUGAUCAUUAACAGUAUUUAUAUUUUAACUGUACAUUUAGGACUCAGAACUGUGCCCGAUGUGCUGUGAUGGCCACAGGACCUUUUUGUGACAGAUUGCAAUGCACAGAUGUUUUAUUGCCAAUGUAAAUAAAAGAUCACUAGUGCCA